rnacentral:rRNA from 1 species
CCUACGGGAGGCAGCAGUGGGGAAAUUUUCCGCAAUGGGCGAAAGCCUGACGGAGCAACGCCGCGUGAGGGAUGAAGACCUUUGGGCUGUAAACCUCUUUUCUCAAGGAAGAAGAUCUGACUGUACUUGAGGAAUAAGCCACGGCUAAUUCCGUGCCAGCAGCCGCGGUAAUACGGGAGUGGCAAGCGUUAUCCGGAAUUAUUGGGCGUAAAGCGUCCGCAGGCGGCCGUUUAAGUCUGUUGUUAAAUCGUGGAGCUCAACUCCAUCACGGCAAUGGAAACUGUUCGGCUUGAGUGUGGUAGGGGCAGAGGGAAUUUCCGGUGUAGCGGUGAAAUGCGUAGAUAUCGGGAAGAACACCAGUGGCGAAAGCGCUCUGCUAGGCCAUUACUGACGCUCAUGGACGAAAGCCAGGGGAGCGAAAGGGAUUAGAUACCCCUGUAGUCCUGGCCGUAAACGAUGAACACUAGAUGUUGGGGGAAUCGACCCCCUCGGUGUCGUAGCUAACGCGUUAAGUGUUCCGCCUGGGGAGUACNCACGCAAGUGUGAAACUCAAAGGAAUUGACGG